UUGCAUUUAUAUACCCAUUCCACCCUGAAAAAACUGUAAGAAAUUUAUUGCGAAAAUUUCAUAUUCACUUUCAUAUUCACUUUCUUCUGGAUAUGUUCCGACUUAUAAUACUUUCAAGUUAUUCUCAACGGUAUCAAUAUAGAUAAUAUUCAUUAGCGGAAUGCGAAAAUGCGGCGGCCCGCGAUCUUCAUCAUGGGAUUCAUGAAUGAAAUUGCACUCAUCCAGAUAGACGCUGUUCAUCAUAAAUCUGCCAACAGUAUCACUCCUUGGAGUAUAAUUCAUCAAAGGAUAAAAUAGUCAAAGUCAUUACGAUAAAAAAUGUAUAGAUUAAAAUAACAAAUUAAAAAAUUAUUGCUGAUGAAACGAUGAAUGAGACGUAAAAAAGAGAAUGAUAUUAGCAGCUAAAUUUCGAGUGAUUCGUAACACCGACAAUAUACAGAAAGA
rnacentral:lncRNA from 13 species